UGGUUCUGUAUGGAAAGGCCAUCGCUCAACGGAUAAAAGGUACUCCGGGGAUAACAGGCUGAUACCGCCCAAGAGUUCAUAUCGACGGCGGUGUUUGGCACCUCGAUGUCGGCUCAUCUCAUCCUGGGGCUGAAGCAGGUCCCAAGGGUAUGGCUGUUCGCCAUUUAAAGAGGUACGUGAGCUGGGUUUAGAACGUCGUGAGACAGUUCGGUCCCUAUCUAC
rnacentral:rRNA from 14 species